CGCGAGGCGGUUGCGCUAGGUGAGCGGGUACCGCGGCCGCGCCUCCCUUGUCAUUUACUCAGCGGUCAGAGGCAUCCUGCGUCUGGGAGUCCCAAGUGCCUUCGGCUGGGUGCCCCUGUCCGAUCCUCAAAAGGAAAGCACAAAUCCCGGGUGCGAGUCUAACCCAGGACCGAACUUUCCCGCGAACCUGAAGUUACCAUGGGGCGGGAGCCACCUUAGCGCCGCGUCCGCCCGCCCCUCGCACCGGCUAGGAUGCUGCGGAAGGCAGGGGCGCCGAGAGGCAAGGGUGAAAGACGCCGUCCAUACCCCCAAAGCCCGAACCUGCAUCUCCUCUGCGAGGCGCAGGGCGGGAGGACCGCUGCAGUUGGGAGCCGGCUCCGGACAGGCAAAGCGACCCGACAGGUAACCUUCCACAGGCCCACACAUGUGUUAUCAGCCAUACCUUAGGACAGAAGGAAUGAGUUUGCAGAAAGGAUGCCCUACAACCAUACUGAGAAUUUAGCCCUGGGGACAUCUUCCGAUAUAAUCUGGCAUAGAAGAGUGGUUAUCACACCUUUAGCAUGGGACCCUUGAGACACCUUUGCUGUGAAUAAUGGAGAAGCAAAAGGAGUUACUAAUGAAGACAAACUAAACCUGAGAACAGAGAGAGCCUAACUAUGUGCUCCAGAAGUGCCAUGUGUGUCUAAGGCUGUACAGGAAGCAUGGCACCAACAUCUGCCCAGCUCCUAGGGAGGCCUCGGGGAGCUUUUACUCAUGGUGGAGGGUGAAGCAGGAGCAAGUACAUCAUACGGCGAAAGCAAGAGCAAAUGAAGUUUCGCUCUUCUUGCCCAGGCUGGAGUGCAAUGGCACAAUCUCAGCUCACUGCAACCUCUGCCUCCUGGGUUCAAGCGAUUCUCCUGCCUCAGCCCCCUGAGUAGCUGGGAUUACAGGUUCCUAUAAAGUUCCUGAUAGUUGAAGAAAGUCAGGAGAUCUUAGAAACUGACUUUCAUUUAUAACCUGCUGAUUCACCUAGAUCAGGUUACUGGGAAGAAAUCCAAGUCAGACCUCCUGACCUACUCGAAACAGCAUGAGGAAUUUUGGAAAUACAUCUGGUGCUUCCAGUGACUGUAUAAUAAUCAAUGUAUCCUGACUCUAAAGAAAAGCAGAAGUGAAACUGAAAGUACAGACUACAAGGUGGAAUAUGAUCCCUCUACUAUCAACUAAAAGUCUUAGACUUGCUACCCUUCUGAAAAUGGUUCUGAAGGGGCCCAGGAAGAAACCUCCUCUUCCCCAGCUGAGUUGAGAACCAAGUGGAAGACAAAGAAGUUAGACAGCAGAUGAAAAAGUGACCUGCCUUGCACCUUGCCAGUUGGCUUGCUAGCUCUCCCCUGAUUUGAACUUCUGACAACAGAACAUGCUCCACCAAACUUACCAUGUGAAGGACAGCACAUGGGCAUUCUUUCUGAGACCUGCAAAGAAAACAAAGGGAGAGGCUAAGCAGACAAAGGAAAACUCUUUCUUCUCAAAUCAAUCAGAUAAUGAACUCCUGUUCCCUUUAGGAGAAAUGAGUGGGUGGGGAGAGAAAAGCAAGCAGUUGACCUCUGGAGGUCCUUAGACUUAAAAACAUAAAGCCCAAGGAAGAAAAUUCCUCCCCAGCAUUAACUUGGACCAGUAAUGUUUUUCUAUUUAUAUUCCAUAUGUAAAUAUGCCUGUGAGGUAUUAUGUAUUGUCUUUGUGCCUUUAAGUGCAUUUCUUUAAAAAAUCUGUAACUUUAAACUUAAAUAGAAAGGCACAAAAUGGAUUGUUAUUU
ensembl:lncRNA novel transcript